rnacentral:rRNA from 1 species
UACGUAGGGGGCAAGCGUUGUCCGGAUUUAUUGGGCGUAAAGAGCUCGUAGGCGGUUUGGCAAGUCAGAUGUGAAAUCUCCAGGCUCAACCUGGAGGGGUCAUCUGAUACUGCCAUGACUAGAGGUCGGUAGGGGAGUGUGGAAUUCCUGGUGGAGCGGUGAAAUGCGCAGAUAUCAGGAGGAACACCCGUAGCGAAGGCGGCACUCUGGGCCGAUACUGACGCUGAGGAGCGAAAGCGUGGGGAGCGAACAGG